rfam:Gossypium raimondii Chr09_contig_1349, whole genome shotgun sequence.
AGGGAUAUAACUUAGUGGUAAAGUGCCACCUUGACGUGGCGGAAGUAUCAGUUCGAGCAAGAUUAUCCUUA